CUACGGGGGGCUGCAGUAAGGAAUAUUUGUCAAUGGACGCAAGUCUGAACCAGCCAUGCCGCGUGGAGGAUGAAGGUCCUCUGGAUUGUAAACUUCUUUUAUUUGGGAAGAAACUCCCGAUUUCCAUCGGGAUUGACGGUACCAGAUGAAUAAGCACCGGCUAACUCCGUGCCAGCAGCCGCGGUAAUACGGAGGGUGCAAGCAUUAACCGGGUUUACAGGGUUUGUAGGUGGGCAGGUAAGUCAGUGGUGAAAGCUCCGGGCUUAACCCGGAAACUGCCAUUGAUACUAUUUGUCUUGAAUACUCUGGAGGUGAGCGGAAUAUGUCAUGUAGCGGUGAAAUGCUUAGAUAUGACAUAGAACACCCAUUGCGAAGGCAGCUCACUACGGAAAUAUUGACGCUGAGGCACGAAAGCGUGGGGAUCAAACAGGAUUAGAUACCCGAGUAGUC
rnacentral:rRNA from 1 species